rnacentral:rRNA from 1 species
GACGAACGCUGGCGGCGUGCUUAACACAUGCAAGUCGAACGGAAAGGCCCUGCUUUUGUGGUGUGCUCGAGUGGCGAACGGGUGCGUAACACGUGAGUAACCUGCCCUUGACUUUGGGAUAACUUCAGGAAACUGGAGUUACUACCGGACCGGAGCUCCCGCUGCAUGGUAGGCGGUGGAAAGUUUCGGCGGUUGGGGUUGGACUCGCGGCUGACCAGCUUGUUGGUGGGGUAGUGGCUUACCAAGGCUUUGACGGAUAGCCGGCCUGCGAGGGUGACCGGCCACAUUGGGACUGAGAUACGGCCCAGAGUCCUACGGGAGGCAGCAGUGGGGAAUAUUGCACAAUGGGCGGAAGCCUGAUGCAGCAACGCCGCGUGCGGGAUGACGGCCUUCGGGUUGUAAACCGCUUUCGCCUGUGACGAAGCGUGAGUGACGGUAAUGGGUAAAGAAGCACCGGCUAACUACGUG